GACGAACGCUGGCGGCGUGCUUAACACAUGCAAGUCGAACGGAAAGGCCCUGCUUUUGUGGGGUGCUCGAGUGGCGAACGGGUGAGUAACACGUGAGUAACCUGACCUUGACUUUGGGAUAACUUCAGGAAACUGGGGCUAAUACCGGAUAGGAGCUCCUGCUGCAUGGUGGGGGUUGGAAAGUUUCGGCGGUUGGGGAUGGACUCGCGGCUUAUCAGCUUGUUGGUGGGGUAGUGGCUUACCAAGGCAUUGACGGGUAGCCGGCCUGAGAGGGUGACCGGCCACAUUGGGACUGAGAUACGGCCCAGACUCCUACGGGAGGCAGCAGUGGGGAAUAUUGCACAAUGGGCGGAAGCCUGAUGCAGCAACGCCGCGUGCGGGAUGACGGCCUUCGGGUUGUAAACCGCUUUCGCCUGUGACGAAGCGUGAGUGACGGUAAUGGGUAAAGAAGCACCGGCUAACUACGUG
rnacentral:rRNA from 1 species